UACGUAGGGGGCAAGCGUUGUCCGGAUUCAUUGGGCGUAAAGCGCGGGCAGGCGGCCCGCUCAGUCGGCCGUGAAAGCGCCGGGCUCAACUCGGCGAGGUCGGGCGAUACUGGCGGGCUCGAGGCUGGUAGAGGGCGGUGGAAUUCCGGGUGUAGUGGUGGAAUGCGUAGAGCUCCGGAGGAACACCAGUGGCGAAGGCGGCCGCCUGGGCCAGUCCUGACGCUGAGGCGCGAAAGCUAGGGGAG
rnacentral:rRNA from 1 species